rnacentral:lncRNA from 1 species
CUGUGCAGUUCCUUGCACGAUGGGGCUACUGUCAUGCAAUUCAUGGCACAACAGCUAAUGUCGUGUGUGUGUGUGUGUGUGUGUGUGUGUGUGUGUGUUUAGACAGAUGAGCUACUCUCGGUAGACACAUCAUUCUAAUACAGAGAAAAGAUGGAGAAGGGGUGUCAAUCAGUUAUAUUUGCAAGGGUUAGCAGGGAGCAUCAGAAUCCCUGAAUGACAAAGUAAAUGCAGGAGUGUUGUUAUGUCUGCAGCAGGUCAGACUCUUGCUCACACUGUACAGUGUUUAUUCUUGUGAACGCCGUUGGAGUGCUCAUAUAAGGACUACUCGGCACGAGUAAGUGUUGCAGAGCCGGCCCCGUGGUCCACGCAUGAAGUCAUGUGUUAUUUAAAAAUAAAGCAGGCUCUGUGCCCUACUGAGAGAAGAACGGACUUCUACGAAUGUACGUGGACGUAGCUGGUCAGAGGAGGGCCCAAUUUUCAGCCUUGGGAGCAGCAACCAUUCCUGAAUUUGGAGUGUGGUGCUGGGCACCCUCGACUCCCACUCCCUUCUAUGGAGCUAAGAGUACACAGCACGUCCCAGGAGGUGCUCAGCGCCUUGCGGGGUCGGGCCGUCGGGCACUGAAUCAACACAGGGGGAAGAAACUACGCUCCAAAGGGACUACUUAAUUCUCCUCAGGUGGAAGGAUUAAGAAUUGUGGCAGUGAAAUGGCCCCUUUGGGGGAGGGACAGGAAGUGCACACAUAUAACUGGAAAAGGAAAAAAAAAGGUAAAUUCCAGAAAAAUCUUAGAAAAAAAUCCAGAAAAAACUGCAAGAAAAUUGCUUUCAA